rnacentral:rRNA from 1 species
UGGAUCCAGACUUUGAUUCUGGCUCAGGAUGAACGCUAGCUACAGGCUUAACACAUGCAAGCCGAGGGGAAACGACAUCGAAAGCUUGCUUUUGAUGGGCGUCGACCGGCGCACGGGUGAGUAACGCGUAUCCAACCUGCCCACCACUUGGGGAUAACCUUGCGAAAGUAAGACUAAUACCCAAUGAUAUCUCUAGAAGACAUCUGAAAGAGAUUAAAGAUUUAUCGGUGAUGGAUGGGGAUGCGUCUGAUUAGCUUGUUGGCGGGGUAACGGCCCACCAAGGCAACGAUCAGUAGGGGUUCUGAGAGGAAGGUCCCCCACAUUGGAACUGAGACACGGUCCAAACUCCUACGGGAGGCAGCAGUGAGGAAUAUUGGUCAAUGGACGAGAGUCUGAACCAGCCAAGUAGCGUGCAGGAUGACGGCCCUAUGGGUUGUAAACUGCUUUUAUAAGGGAAUAAAGUGAGUCUCGUGAGACUUUUUGCAUGUACCUUAUGAAUAAGGACCGGCUAAUUCCGUGCCAGCAGCCGCGGUAAUACGGAAGGUCCGGGCGUUAUCCGGAUUUAUUGGGUUUAAAGGGAGCGUAGGCCGGAGAUUAAGCGUGUUGUGAAAUGUAGACGCUCAACGUCUGCACUGCAGCGCGAACUGGUUUCCUUGAGUACGCACAAAGUGGGCGGAAUUCGUGGUGUAGCGGUGAAAUGCUUAGAUAUCACGAAGAACUCCGAUUGCGAAGGCAGCUCACUGGAGCGCAACUGACGCUGAAGCUCGAAAGUGCGGGUAUCGAACAGGAUUAGAUACCCUGGUAGUCCGCACGGUAAACGAUGGAUGCCCGCUGUUGGUCUGAAUAGGUCAGCGGCCAAGCGAAAGCAUUAAGCAUCCCACCUGGGGAGUACGCCGGCAACGGUGCAACUCAAAUGAAUUGACGGA